ensembl:lncRNA
CAGAAAAACAAUCUAUUCUGUUGUUAACGACUUUCUGUUCCUUAGGGUAAAGCGGUAUUAAAGAAAGUAGCAUAGUCUCAGGAGGAGGAACCCGCUGACCUGCAAAUCAUCGGCCUCUAUAAAUAACUUCCAGAAGAUCCACAGAGAUCUGUGGGCACUGAGACUGGAUGAAAGAGAAAGUUCAUGAAGAAAAAUAGAGUGGAGAAAACAAGGGCUGAACUUUCCAGAAUAAGGGAUCAGAAGGAAAGUGACCAUAAUUUUUCCAACAACAUUAUGCUUAUCUUUUCUAUUUUCUCUUCUAAUACGUUCAGAACAGAUUAAUUGCAAUUUUCACAAUAACUCUCCACCUGGCAGCUGUUUAGUAGAGUGAUUUCAGGCUCUGAGUAUAUGAGGAAGAUCCUUUUCCUCUUCCUAAUCUAUAAAUGUUGAAGCAUUCCCAGAUGCAGCUCUAGGAUGCAUUGAUUUCUCAGAUGUAACAUCAUGGCUUCAAGAAUCAUAUGUCAUCUUACCAGAGGAACCGCCCCUGUGACUUUACAUUAGAGCAGGAGUGUGCUAAUAGAAAAGGUGACUGGGUCAUUUAAACCUCAACAACAAUCUGAAAAAGACCACAUCAUCCUUUUACUCAUCAUGUCCAGUAAGCAAGCCUGGUAGAAAGAUCCAGCAGAGUAUUUGAGAAGCUACUUUUUAAACGUAAGUAGCUUCUGGGAUAUUGCCCCAAUAUGACUUCUUAUAACUGAAAGCCGCAGUUUAAAAGGAAGACAAAUGCAGUACUAGUGGCUAAAGUCAAGAUAAGAGAAAUUAGAGAAUCCGGAAAUAAUCUGUGAUAAAAAAGAAGUAAAUCAAGUUGACUUUUUGUGAACUUCCUAAAUCUCUAGAAGGGGUUUUAGAGUUGGGAAAUGCCAUAUUCAAAUGCAUUUAUAAUUUUAAAGAAAUUAUUUUAUGCUUAUCAAGUAUGUUGUUAUACUUGCUUCUUUGUUUUAAAUGCCAAUGACCAUUUAGACUGUCAUUGUCAAAAUAAACCACCUUUCUACAGGGUACUUCCAUACUGUUAAAAACAGUCAUGGUUAAAAGAUAAAGAUUUAACAUCUGAUAGUUUCCAAAUAUAAUUUUUGAUAUAUUAAUUUCUGAUAUAUUCUAAAUAUAAUUCUUUGGGGAUAAUUAUUUUUAUCUCUUCCUCAAUCUCUCAUGCUCACUUUGUCUUUUCUUGUUUCCCUAGCAACAUUUAUCAAAGGACUUAAAUGACAAAAUUGAGAAUAAUGCAGAACUUUCAUAUUUUAUAUAGAAGUGUCUGCUAAAGAAAUAGCAAAAUAUCUCAUUUUUUAGAAAAACGUCGUGUACCAGAAAAAGAAAUAGCUUGUAUCUUUUCUACACUUGAUUUCUAAAUGAUGGCAAUAAAGGUCAGAUACAUGUUUGAAACUAGAGAAAUGUCAAAUUAAAAAUCACUUACAAAACGUUGUUGUUACUUUUUCUUAUCACUUUAGUGCUGAAUGGAACUCUCAAUGACUUAACAGAUUCCUGCUUGUCAGAAGCUGCUGAUCCAUUGAACUCUUUAACUUAUUGAUGAGGGACUUCGUAUCUUGUGUUCAUUAAUUAAAUACAGAACAAGAGUGUCACACACGUGGUGUAUGCAAUUCAUAAAGUGAAGUCAUCUGCAGCUAAGGGAAUACAUUAUUAAAAAUGUAAGAAAUGUCAGGCUGGCCCAGUGGCAUAGUGGUUAAGUUUGUCUACUCCAUUUUGGCGGCCCAGGGUUCACAGGUUCAGAUCCUGGGCACAGACCUAGCACCACUUGUCAAGCCACGCUGUGGUGGCAUCCGCAUAAAAUGGAGGAACACCAGCACAGAUGUUAGCUCAGCGACAAUCUUUCUAGAGCAAAAAGAGGAAGAUUGACAACAGAUGUUAGGUCAGGGCCAAUCUUCCUCACAGACACAAAUAUGUAUAUGUAUAUGUAUAUGUGUGUAUUAUAUACAAAAUGUUAUUUCUCAAGUUUCU